CACCCUCUCUCAGCGACUCCCAAAAGGAAAAACGCCUCUCCUGACCCCACUAGGUCCCAAGGUGGCGUCUCAGUCUUCUCUGAAUUCUGAGUUUGCCACUUUGGGGUCCCAGUGCACACAGGGCACACACCAUUCCAAUAAAAGCCAUCACAAACACAGACAUCUCUCUAACGAAGUGGCCUCCAGCCCCCGCCAGCGGGCCACCGUCCCCCAACAGUACCUGGAGCAGCGCCCCGCUCCUCCGCUCCGGGCCCAGCCAGGGAGGGCGCCCUGCACCCGCCUCGGUGCCCUUGGGUGCCCCCACGCGCCGGGUCUCCGCUCAUGGCUCGGAGGCCCCCUGCGAGGGGUGUGCGGCCUCCUGCAGCCAGUGACCCUGCCGUAGUGGGCUCCUAGCAGCCUGGGCCUCAGAAAGCUCGGUCCUGCACGAGGCGCGGCUCGGGCUGAAAGGGACAGAGGACCCAGCUCACAAGCCUCCCCUGCCCUCGAGCACAGCCCAGCGACCCCUCCUGCAGCCCCCGCCCCUUCCUCCACCCCUUCCCUCACCACCUGCUGACCCCAGAGGCUGCAGGAAGAGCCGGGCGGGCCUCCAGGCAAGCGCCCCCCACUUCCACGAGCGUGCAGGCGGAGGAGGUUUUCUGUUACUAGUUCUAUCAUUCUGUUCGCCGCCCACUAAGUCACAAUAUUGUGGGAGGCGGCUGUCACAGAGCCCUGCAGGGUGACAAGUGCCAUGAUCCCCGCUGUCAAGUGCUCCUGUUCCCCAGUGGGCUCCUGGGUCCCCAUCCUCGCCCCUGAGAAGCCCAAACCUUCUCAACUAGCCAGCGACCCACUGCAGCUCAGCGGUCAGCGGCCCUCCACUGCCUCCUGUGUGGGCAGAACACCCAGAAAGAGCCGGGACGACAGAAGCAAGGCACUGGCCACAUGCACGUGUGAGGCUGGAGAAGGAAACCAGGAGGGGAAGCAAGUCUGGGGCCAGAGACAGGGGCGCAAAGGGGCACCCCGGCCUGAAACCGGCGGCAAGGGUCUCUCCAGAUCACCAACAGCUUUGAUUUUGACUGAGAGAGAGGAUUUGGCUCCGAGACCCUCAGUAUGUGUCUCCCCUGGGCACUGGGCCAAGAGGAGAGUGUGUGAAGACGCAGGUGCCCGGGUGUCGCCCCCAGAGAUUACGAUGCAGCAGGUUGGAGACGGGCCAGGAAUCUGCACCACCACAAGCCCCCAUCGUGGGUGACGUGACGCAGACAGUCACGUUGAGAAGUCAGGCCCUCUCACUGCCCGCCACUGGCACAGGCUGUGCAUCGGAACCGGGGCCUUGAGUUCCUGACGCGAGGCUGCAGGGCAGUGUGUCCUGGGCCGUCUACUCCCUUGGCACAAGCGCACUGUCCCUUCCCUGGGAAAGUCCACUCCCCCUUCUCCAGGCUUCACCCCUCCAGCUCCCCAGGGGACGCCCCGCCAGGGGCUCGCUGCUGAGACUGGCCACCAGGGGGUGCUGCAGGCCCUCAGGCGCCAUGGAGCCGCUGCCGCAGUGCUGCAGAGCGCGGCGCCCAGUGGGUCCCAGCCUCUGCGUCCUGCUUAGCACAUCCCUUCUCCGGGCUCCGCGCUCCUGGGGCCCAGUGCCGACAUCCUCCCCAACCCCCAUCCUCCUCGGGAACAGACAAGGGUUUGCUGCACCCAUCCUGGGAGCCCGCCGGCUCUGGAGAGAGGGGGCAGAGGCUGGCUUCCGGCGCUGACAGUGUGGGGGUGGCCCCAACACCUACGGGCUCCCCUCGACAAGCCCAGAGGCAGGGCCGAAGUUCCCAGAGACCCACUGGCCUUCCUGCUCCAGCAGCUGCAGACGCAGUGCUUGCUGCCCGUGGACAGUGGACCAGGCUUCAGUCCCGCCCCGUCACUUCUGCUGCUCCAAGGUGUUCCAGGGCACAACACCUCCUUAGGAGGAGGAAGCAGGGUCACCAGCCUGGCCCUUGCCGGGGCGAGUGGCUGCCUCUCUCUGCAGUGAGGAGCGGCCCAGUGCAGCCUGUGCUUUGGAAGAGCUUGGAGGGUGAGCACAUAAGCUCCAGGGGCUACUGCCUGACACCUGGCACCGUGUGCCUUGGGGAGACUCUCUGGUCGAGGGCGGCCGGCGUCCAGGGCUAUGGGCCCUGGAGAGGGCGCCUGCCUUCAGCUCUGUUUGGAGGGGUGCUGGUUUGCUCACCCUGAAUUCUGCCUCCUUUCCCUCUGAAUGUGAGCUUCUAGGGUCAGAGAGCGGAUUCUCAACACAGUCUGCCUACCCUCAUUUAGAGACCUGGGUGCAGAGGGCUGGCCUCCUGCAGGUCAUGGCCUGCCUGCGUCGGCUAGGGCUGGGGGCUGUGGGGCUGCGGGACGUGGCCCUGGUUCCCUGACAGCCCUGCUCUCCUGCCCGGUAAACCUCACCUCACGGUCUCCUGGCAAUGCCCUCCAGUGAUGCUGCCCGGAACCUGCACGUGACACUCGGCUCCAAUGAAGUCGCAGCUGCUGGGAGCCCAGUGGUCGUUAUGGAAACAGUUCUCACAGCACCCCCCCAGGACCAUCUGCUGGCAAAGGGGGGUGGGCAGGGGCUGGGCCUGGGCCCAGGUGUGGGCGACAAUUGCAAGGGGCCCUGGGGGACUUCUGGUUGUGAAACUAGUAAUACUAGUACGGCUAACUCGGCCAGCUCCUCCGGCGCCAGGCACGCUUCUCAGGGCUUUCAGUUUGUGGCUGGGUCAGUUGCCAUGACGACCCUCUGAGGUGGUCCAGUUACCAUCCCCAUUGUAGAGUGAGGAAGCGGAAGCCUGGAGGGGUUACGUAAGCAAAGCCUGGACCAGAACCAGCCUGACUGCAGAGACACCGUCCUCUGACGUCGCUGCAGCCUCGGUGCACACAGACGAGCGCGUGCAGGGUGCUCGCAGAGCUCCCGUCCACAAGGCUUCGCAGCCCCCUUCCAAGUGUUCCACUCAGUGGCUUUUAGCGCAUUUGCAAAGUUGUGCAACCAUUGCCACUGCCUAAUUCCAGAACAUUUUUAUCACCCCCCAGAGAGACCCCAGACCCAUCAGCCAUCAUUCCCAUCGUCCCCUCGCCCAGCCCCUGGCCACCCCGUCUGCUUCCUGUCUCUGCAGCGUUGCCCGUUCUGGACACCUCAGAUGAACGGGACGGUAAACAUGGCAACUUCUGUGAUGGGCCCCUUCCCUGCCAAGGCUCCCUCAUACACCGCGCGUCAGCGUGGCACGCCUGUUCACGGCGCGGUAAGCUUCCACUGUGCGGAGCCACCGUAUUUCACUUACCCCGUCAUCAUCUGAUGGGCAUUUGGGUCGUCCCCAUGUCUUGCCCGUUUUAUGUAUAAAACUGCUAUGAACAUCCACACCCAAACUUUCACCUGGACGGAUGUUUCCAUUUCUCUUGGAUGUAGGCCGAGAGUGCCCCCGGGGCCUCACAGUAACUCUGACAUUUGAGGAACCUCCAGGCUGUUCUCCAAACAGGCCCCCGCAUCUCGCCCCACCCUAGCCGUGUGCCAGGGUUCCACCUUCUCCAUGUCCUCUCCAACGCCUGUUACUGGUUUUUUUUUGAUGAUCGCCAUCCUAGUGGCUGUGAAGUGGAAUCUCACUGUAGCUCUAACCUGCAUUUCCCUAAUGACUUACAAUGUCGAGCAUCCUUCUAUAUUGAAACUACUUGAAGUUAAAUUAAAA